rnacentral:rRNA from 1 species
UACAGAGGUCUCAAGCGUUGUUCGGAUUCAUUGGGCGUAAAGGGUGCGUAGGCGGCGCGGUAAGUCGGGUGUGAAAUCUCGGAGCUUAACUCCGAAACUGCAUUCGAUACUGCCGUGCUUGAGGACUGGAGAGGAGACUGGAAUUUACGGUGUAGCGGUGAAAUGCGUAGAUAUCGUAAGGAAGACCAGUGGCGAAGGCGGGUCUCUGGACAGUUCCUGACGCUGAGGCACGAAUGCCAGGGGAGCAAACGGG